GACGAACGCUGGCGGCGUGCUUAACACAUGCAAGUCGAACGGAAAGACCCUGCUUUUGUGGGGUGCUCGAGUGGCGAACGGGUGAGUAACACGUGAGUAACCUGCCCUUGACUUUGGGAUAACUUCAGGAAACUGGGGCUAAUACCGGAUAGGAGCUCCUGCUGCAUGGGGGGGGUUGGAAAGUUUCGGCGGUUGGGGAUGGACUCGCGGCUUAUUAGCUUGUUGGUGGGGUAGUGGCUUACCAAGGCUUUGACGGGUAGCCGGCCUGAGAGGGUGACCGGCCACAUUGGGACUGAGAUACGGUCCAGACUCCUACGGGAGGCAGCAGUGGGGAAUAUUGCACAAUGGGCGGAAGCCUGAUGCAGCAACGCCGCGUGCGGGAUGACGGCCUUCGGGUUGUAAACCGCUUUCGCCUGUGACGAAGCGUGAGUGACGGUAAUGGGUAAAGAAGCACCGGCUAACUACGUG
rnacentral:rRNA from 1 species